GGUGAACGCUGGCGGCGUGCCUAAUACAUGCAAGUCGAGCGAACAGACGAGGAGCUUGCUCCUUUGACGUUAGCGGCGGACGGGUGAGUAACACGUGGGUAACCUACCUAUAAGACUGGGAUAACUUCGGGAAACCGGAGCUAAUACCGGAUAAUAUUUCGAACCGCAUGGUUCGAUAGUGAAAGAUGGCUUUGCUAUCACUUAUAGAGGGACCUGCGCCGUAUUAGCUAGUUGGUAAGGUAACGGCUUACCAAGGCAACGAUACGUAGCCGACCUGAGAGGGUGAUCGGCCACACUGGAACUGAGACACGGUCCAGACUCCUACGGGAGGCAGCAGUAGGGAAUCUUCCGCAAUGGGCGAAAGCCUGACGGAGCAACGCCGCGUGAGUGAUGAAGGUCUUCGGAUCGUAAAACUCUGUUAUUAGGGAAGAACAAACGUGUAAGUAACUGUGCACGUCUUGACGGUACCUAAUCAGAAAGCCACGGCUAACUACGUGCCAGCAGCCGCGGUAAUACGUAGGUGGCAAGCGUUAUCCGGAAUUAUUGGGCGUAAAGCGCGCGUAGGCGGUUUUUUAAGUCUGGUGUGAAAGCCCACGGCUCAACCGUGGAGGGUCAUUGGAAACUGGAAAACUUGAGUGCAGAAGAGGAAAGUGGAAUUCCAUGUGUAGCGGUGAAAUGCGCAGAGAUAUGGAGGAACACCAGUGGCGAAGGCGACUUUCUGGUCUGUAACUGACGCUGAUGUGCGAAAGCGUGGGGAUCAAACAGGAUUAGAUACCCUGGUAGUCCACGCCGUAAACGAUGAGUGCUAAGUGUUAGGGGGUUUCCGCCCCUUAGUGCUGCAGCUAACGCAUUAAGCACUCCGCCUGGGGAGUACGACCGCAAGGUUGAAACUCAAAGGAAUUGACGGGGACCCGCACAAGCGGUGGAGCAUGUGGUUUAAUUCGAAGCAACGCGAAGAACCUUACCAAAUCUUGGCAUCCUUUGACCCUUCUAGAGAUAGAAGUUUCCCCUUCGGGGGACAAAGUGACAGGUGGUGCAUGGUUGUCGUCAGCUCGUGUCGUGAGAUGUUGGGUUAAGUCCCGCAACGAGCGCAACCCUUAAGCUUAGUUGCCAUCAUUAAGUUGGGCACUCUAAGUUGACUGCCGGUGACAAACCGGAGGAAGGUGGGGAUGACGUCAAAUCAUCAUGCCCCUUAUGAUUUGGGCUACACACGUGCUACAAUGGACAAUACAAAGGGCAGCGAAACCGCGAGGUCAAGCAAAUCCCAUAAAGUUGUUCUCAGUUCGGAUUGUAGUCUGCAACUCGACUACAUGAAGCUGGAAUCGCUAGUAAUCGUAGAUCAGCAUGCUACGGUGAAUACGUUCCCGGGUCUUGUACACACCGCCCGUCACACCACGAGAGCUUGUAACACCCGAAGCCGGUGGAGUAACCAUUUGGAGCUAGCCGUCGAAGGUGGGACAAGUGAUUGGGGUGAAGUCGUAACAAGGUAGCCGUAUCGGAAGG
rnacentral:rRNA from 1 species